CAGCAAUGCAAGUAAAACAACUUAAUCAUCUGGAAAGAGAAUGCUGUGUGCAGGAAUGAUCCUGAUGCUAAUAGUGAUGAGGAAGAAUUGAAAUCAAAGAAAUCUGAGUGAAUUUGAUUCAACCUGUUUGUAGGAAUGCAAGCUCAAGUGCCUUCGAAGUCAUGUUUGAUUGCAUUCCACCUAAACAAGUUCAAGCCUGGCAGCUGCUGUAAAAACCAAAUCCUGCAGUGGAGUAGAUUUUAUUCAUGAACGCACAAAGUAGCUGUCAGAACAGAAGUCUGAGUGCUGUACGAAAGAGACGAGAUGUGAGACAGAGCUGGUCAAGAAAGAGGAGACAUGAUGCUGGAAGUGAAACUAGCCUUCUCAUGAGGAUGUUGCAACGGAUAAAAGUUAGGGUUACAUGGCUGACGGAAAGAUAAAAGAU